rnacentral:tRNA from 1 species
GGGGUUGUGGCUCAGUGGCAGAGCGUUCGCCUCACAUGUGCCAGGCCCUGGGUUCGAUCCUCAGCACCACA